GAUGAACGCUGGCGGCGUGCCUAAUACAUGCAAGUCGAGCGAACAGACGAGGAGCUUGCUCCUCUGACGUUAGCGGCGGACGGGUGAGUAACACGUGGAUAACCUACCUAUAAGACUGGGAUAACUUCGGGAAACCGGAGCUAAUACCGGAUAAUAUAUUGAACCGCAUGGUUCAAUAGUGAAAGACGGUUUUGCUGUCACUUAUAGAUGGAUCCGCGCCGCAUUAGCUAGUUGGUAAGGUAACGGCUUACCAAGGCAACGAUGCGUAGCCGACCUGAGAGGGUGAUCCGCCACACUGGAACUGAGACACGGUCCAGACUCCUACGGGAGGCAGCAGUAGGGAAUCUUCCGCAAUGGGCGAAAGCCUGACGGAGCAACGCCGCGUGAGUGAUGAAGGUCUUCGGAUCGUAAAACUCUGUUAUUAGGGAAGAACAAAUGUGUAAGUAACUAUGCACGUCUUGACGGUACCUAAUCAGAAAGCCACGGCUAACUCCGUG
rnacentral:rRNA from 1 species